GGAAUUGUUCGCAAUGGGCGCAAGCCUGACGACGCAACGCCGCGUGGAGGAUGAAGAUCUUCGGGUCGUAAACUCCUGUCGAGCGGGACGAAUGGCCCGCGACCUAAUACGUCGCGGGAGUGACGGUACCGCGAGAGGAAGCCCCGGCUAACUCCGUGCCAGCAGCCGCGGUAAUACGGGGGGGGGCAAGCGUUGUUCGGAAUUACUGGGCGUAAAGGGCUCGUAGGUGGCCAACUAAGUCAGUUGUGAAAUCCCUCGGCUCAACCGAGGAAUUGCGUCUGAUACUGGAUGGCUUGAAUCCGGGAGAGGGAUGCGGAAUUCCAGGUGUAGCGGUGAAAUGCGUAGAUAUCUGGAGGAACACCGGUGGCGAAGGCGGCAUCCUGGACCGGUAUUGACACUGAGGAGCGAAAGCCAGGGGAGCAAAC
rnacentral:rRNA from 1 species